rnacentral:rRNA from 1 species
UUGUCUUUUAAUUGAAGACUAGAACAAAAGAUUAAACAAUUUAAUUAAUAUAUAAAAUUAAUAAUUUAAAUUUAUUCUAAAAGUAAAAAAACUUUUAUAUAUAAGGAAGACGACAAGACCCUAUUAAACUUAACUUUAGUUAAACUGGGGCAGUUAAUCAAUUAUAAUUUUAAUAAAAAUUUUAGUAUAAAAGAUCCUAUAAAAUUGACCAAAUGAUCAAGUUACUAUAGGGAUAACAGCGUAAUAUUAAUCUAAAGAUCUUAUUUAAAUAAAAGUUUACGACCUCGAUGUUGAAUUAAUAACCUAAAUUGUUGCAAUAAACAAAUAAAGGAAGUCCGUUCGACU